UGGUCUUGACAUCCACGGAACUUUCCAGAGAUGGAUUGGUGCCUUCGGGAACCGUGAGACAGGUGCUGCAUGGCUGUCGUCAGCUCGUGUCGUGAGAUGUUGGGUUAAGUCCCGCAACGAGCGCAACCCUUGUCCUUAGUUGCCAGCACGUAAUGGUGGGAACUCUAAGGAGACCGCCGGUGACAAACCGGAGGAAGGUGGGGAUGACGUUUACCGACAGCU
rnacentral:misc_RNA from 1 species